rnacentral:sRNA from 1 species
ACUGGGUAUCCCCAAAUCACUCAUUUGGGGGGUCAAGGGACCCGGGCAAUAUAGUAUUCUGCUCAGUGUCUGGAGAUCAUCUACCCAGGCUGGGGCUUCUGGGACAGGCGAGGACCCACGGACGCUGGAAGAGCUGGUCCAGGGGACUGAACUCCCGGCAUCUUUACAGAGCAGAGCAUGAUCACAUUCCUGCCGCUGCUGCUGGGGCUCAGCCUGGGCUGCACAGGAGCAGGUGGCUUCGUGGCCCACGUGGAAAGCUCCUGUCUGUUGGAUGAUGCUGGGACUCCAAAGGAUUUCACAUACUGCAUCUCCUUCAACAAGGAUCUGCUGACCUGCUGGGAUCCAGAGGAGAAUAAGAUGGCCCCUUGCGAAUUUGGGGUGCUGAAUAGCUUGGCGAAUUUCCUCUCACAGCACCUCAACCAACAAGACACCCUGAUGCAGCGCUUGCGCAAUGGGCUUCAGAAUUGUGCCACACACACCCAGCCCUUCUGGGGAUCACUGACCAACAGGACACGUGAGGAGAGAGGGGUGCAGAGGGGCUACCAGGAAGUGCAGUUAGGAGGGCAGGCCAGGGAGGAUCCCACAGUGGCCCAGGGGUUUGAGAUUUGAGCAGCAAAUAAGAGAAAAUGUGUGGAUCUGAAAUGUAGAAAGACGGAGGAUUGAACCUCAAGGGGAACAAGGUGGCUGAUGUGAGUGGAACAGGAGUAAAGAAGGGGAGGUGAGGCUUGAACCGCGAGGAGCCAUGUGGGGAGGUUAUGCAGAGGCUGGGGCAUCUCAGGAUGCAUACCCAAGAUGUUCUUGCCUUCUUAUCCCAGAUUUUGAUGUUCCAGAUCUGAUGUGGGCCCAGGCAUGGGAAUAUUUGGAAUCCCAGGGGAUUCUGACACACGCUUUUUCUCACCCUUAAACUCUUGCAUUGACAAUGGCUUGAAGUUUGUGAAAGUAAACUUGAAGAUCUCCACAGUACAGAACAGUGUGUCUCAAGGGUGGUUUCUGAACCACCUUUCUCAGAAUUGCCUGGAGGAGGUGCUUGUUAAAGAUGCAAGCCCCUUAGUACCACUCCAGAUCUGUUGAAAGAAAGUAUCUGGGGAUACAGCCUAGGAAAUCUGCAUUUUAACAUAAUUUCUUGGAUUUUUAUUUAAGAUUGUGUUUGAAAAAUGUCAAGAUAGAGGCAAGCAAGAGGAUCACCUAGGAGAGUAAAUUACUAAAAGAUGGCAGUAUUAGCAAUCUCAUUAGUUUGACUACAUUCAUUCCAAAUUUAAGAGUGAGUCCUAAGUUAGGCUUGUUUCCUUAAACUAUGUGAGGAGAAAAGGCUUUAACUAGCAAAUUAACGUAUUAAGCAAGAUUUGGAGAAAAAUUCCUUUUCCACCUUAAAAAAACCCAAAGUACAACUCUGGAUUACUCUUAGCUUCCUUAUUUCAAAUACUUUCCAGUUUAUGUACUUGAAAUAAAUACAACGACUUCUAGAACAGCUUGCAGUUCAGAUCUGGCUUUUACUAAUUGUAAUCAAACAUAAUUCUGGAGGAGGAAAGAAAGAAAGGGGCAAUGAAGGAAUGGGAGAGAAGAAAGAGUAAUGCAGGAAUACAUUCUAACAGUUCCCCUUCAAGGGGCAGCAUGGCAGAGGGGGCUGGGGUGGAAAGUGGGUUGCAAAAUCUACGAAGAGUUGCGAUAGGAAAGAAACCAGGUUGAGGAAGCAGCCAGAAUAUCACCCUCCUUCCUAAACAUGUUUUUUUCUCCUAUACAGGGCCACCAUCUGUGCAAGUAGCCAAAACCACUCCUUUUAACACGAGGGAGCCUGUGAUGCUGGCCUGCUAUGUGUGGGGCUUCUAUCCAGCAGAAGUGACCAUCACGUGGAGGAAGAACGGGAAGCUUGUCAUGCCUCACAGCAGUGCGCACAAGACUGCCCAGCCCAAUGGAGACUGGACAUACCAGACCCUCUCCCAUUUAGCCUUAACCCCCUCUUACGGGGACACUUACACCUGUGUGGUAGAGCACAUUGGGGCUCCUGAGCCCAUCCUUCGGGACUGGAGUAAGUGUAUGGCAGAUGGAUGGAAUUAGGGUCAAAGCAGAGAAAAUGAGAUGUGGAUCGAUACAUGGUACAUGGUAGACAGCGAAGUGCUGAAAAUGGGGACUGAGUCUGGAGGAACUUAUGGGGGACUUAGGACCAGAACGGGGAAAUGGGAUAAAGAAAUGGAAAUAUUUAGGUUGGUGCAAAAGUAAUUGCAGUUUUUGCCAUUACUUUCAGUGGCAAAAACCGCAAUUACUUUUGCACCAAUUUAAUAUUUAGUCUGUGCUAUUGUUGCUCUGGUGGUGUGGUUGAUGUUGCUGCGUCUAUGUUUGAGGGUGAGAGGGGAGCGUGCUUGCUUUGAAAUGAGGAUGUAAAUUUGGCAAUCAUAUUUUCAGAACCCCAAAUUGUAAUACACUAUUCUAGCCUCCUUAGAUUUCAACUAUUCCGGUGCCAGAAGCAGAUGGGAGCUGAAGGAAUGAUGAAGGUUGAAGAAGGGGGGCUUUUCUUGGUGUGGGGCAGUACUACAUUUGGCCUGCUCUACCAAGCAUACGGGAGUAGUAAAGCCACGGCUGGCAGACCAUUUGGCAUGCAUGCUCAGGGGCCAGUGGAUAAAGAAUUAAUUACAGUUCAAACACUGUUUGAACUCAGUGUUGGGAGUAGUUAAAGGUAUCGUGAGAAGUUGCACACAGCUUUGGGGACUCUUGGAAAAGAAAGAGGAAGAAAUGAGGAAGAGGAAGGGUGUCUACAAAGGGCCAGAGAACAGGAUCUCAGAUCAGCUGCUGUAACCAGGUUUCCCCUUGUGGGAAGUGUUGUUUCUUGCUGGGCAGUUGGGAAGGGAAUGGAGAACAGAGAAGAGAGUGGAAAUCACAUGCUCACUUGAACUUUCCUGGGGAACGUCUCCUCACAGCGUGCACAAGAACCUCCCUUUAGUAGUGGAGUGUUCAUUUUAUCAUGGGAAAAGAAUCUGAGUGGGACAUGAUACAGAACAGGACCAGCCCAAGGAAGUGCAGGGGCUGUGGAGUGGGAUGGAGACAAGCUCUGAAAGGACACAUGGGAGACCUAGAUGUAGAAGGUACACAAGUAGUAGGAUAACUCACAGGAUGGAUCCACUGGAGGUUAAGACAUGUGGUAAGACAGUGUAAUAGGAAGCUGCUCAGUUGGAGAAAGUAAGGAAGCAAACAUUGUUACCAUGGGGGCAAUGGAGAGGACAGUGAGGAGCCCUUUAUCCUGAUAAGGAUGGCUUUGGGGUAAAGGAAGGAAAGAGGAUGCCUUGAGAGGCCCCACUGUAUUAGAGAGGACCUGGAAGCCAGGAUGCUAAUUCUGGGGAGAUGGGUUCCCCAGGCUUACUCUAGGAGUAGAGGUCCAUGGGACGAGGGUUUGAUUUGAGAAAGAUCAUUUUCUUGGGAGUGGGUGGUGUGAGCUAGACCCUUGGAGCUGGGAUAAAGGACCUUUUAACCCACUGAGAGGUGGCUGCAAUAAAUGGAAUUGCCCUGGGGGUGAGCAACAGGAACUGGGUCAAGUAAGUUUCUAUUUUUUGCAGCACCUGGGCUGUCCCCCAUGCAGACCCUGAAGGUUUCUGUGUCUGCAGUGACUCUGGGCCUGGGCCUCAUCAUCUUCUCUCUUGGUGUGAUCAGCUGGCGGAGAGCUGGCCACUCUAGUGAGUGACUCUCUGAACUCCCAUCCCCACUCUUGGUCCCACUCUCUGCUUACUUUCUGUUUGUGAUUAACUCUCUCCUUCCUACCGCAUUUGCUGUGAACACUGCUAGAUAUUUUCAUCCACAAAGACUGGUAUAAUCAAGUAUCUUCCUCUCUUAGGUUACACUCCUCUUCCUGGGUCCAAUUAUUCAGAAGGUAACAUCUCUGUUGGUCUGUUUCCCUACUUGUCCUUUGGUAGGGGUGCGGGUUAGAGGGGUUAGUGUUGGGUUCAACUAAUCUUGAUUAUUAUAUGGGUGAGCUUCCAUGAGGAUCUAGGCAAGGGCAUGAUUUAAGCUGCCAUUGCUAGGAUUAAGAGCAGGAAGGAGCAUCCUCCUCUUCUACCAAGUGGGAUGUCUGUGGAGAGGAGGCUGAAGGUGCUUCCUUUGUAUUAGUUGUUGGUGCCCUGGAGUUUUCAGUAUCACUGUAUUAAGGCAUGGGAUGGUUACAGUGACAAACGAUGGGGGCAAGUUGGGUUGAAGCCUCAUUAUCUCCCUUUUAUUUAUUCUGUAGGACGGCACAUUUCCUAGAGGCAGAAUCCUACAACUUCCACUCCAAGUGAGAAGGAGAUUCAAACUCAAUGAUGCUACCAUACCUCUCCAACAUCUUCAACCCCCUGACAUUAUCUUGGAUCGUAUGGUUUCUCCAUCCAAUUCUUUGAAUUUCCCAGUCUCCCCUAUGUAAAACUUAGCAACUUGGGGGACCUCAUUCCUGGGACUAUGCUGUAACCAAAUUAUUGUCCAAGGCUAUAUUUCUGGGAUGAAUAUAAUCUGAGGAAGGGAGUUAAAGACCCUCCUGGGGCCCUCAGUGUGCCAUAGAGGACAGCAACUGAUGAUUGUUUCAGAGAAAUAAACUUUGGUGGAAAUAUUGUU